UUUAUAUGUUCAUGCAGUUACUUUUCAAACAAAAUGGAUCCAAAUCUUAUCACUGUUAUCUUCCAUUGGGAUGGAAGGAUCAGUCAUGAUGCUCACGGUAUAUAUUAUGAUGGUAGAAGGAUCCAGAUGAUUACGGUGUUAGAGAAUGCUACGGUUUCAUACGUGUAGUUCAAAACUUUUUUUAGACAUCUAAGUAGCGAAAAUAAAUAAAUUAAAAUAAUUUUAAUUUAUUCGCAUACCAGAUC
rnacentral:lncRNA from 1 species